GGGCCCGCACAAGCAGCGGAGCAUGUGGUUUAAUUCGAAGCAACGCGAAGAACCUUACCAGGUCUUGACAUCCAGUUAAAGCCAUAGAGAUAUGGUGUGCCUUCGGGCGAACUGAGACAGGUGGUGCAUGGUUGUCGUCAGCUCGUGUCGUGAGAUGUUGGGUUAAGUCCCGCAACGAGCGCAACCCUUAUUUUUAGUUACUAACGCGUUGUGGCGAGGACUCUAAAGAGACUGCCGGGGACAACUCGGAGGAAGGUGGGGACGACGUCAAAUCAUCAUGCCCCUUAUGACCUGGGCUACACACGUGCUACAAUGGCCACUACAAAGAGGAGCGAGCCCGAGAGGGGGAGCGAAUCUCAUAAAAGUGGUCCCAGUUCAGAUCGUGGGCUGCAACCCGCCCACGUGAAGUCGGAGUUGCUAGUAAUCGCGGAUCAGCAUGCCGCGGUGAAUACGUUCCCGGGCCUU
rnacentral:rRNA from 1 species